rnacentral:tRNA from 1 species
GUGGAUAUAGCUCAGCUGGUUAGAGCGCCGGUUUGUGGUACCGGAGGUCGGGGGUUCGAAUCCCCUUAUCCACCCCA